rnacentral:tRNA from 1 species
UCCCUGUUGGCUCAGAGGUUAAAGCGUCUGCCUGCGAUGCGGGAGACCCGGGUUCGAUCCCUGGGUCGGGAA